GCUUUUAUGCUUUCCUUCCCGUGGCCUUUGCAAUUAUCACUCUGCUACCUAAGGGUUACUCCCCCUGAUAUCAAUCUACGAAUACUCUCCAUUAGGAUAGCACUGAUGUUAACAAGGCUCGAACUCAUGCAUGCUAACAAGGAUGCAAUACAACCCAAACCCCUAUGAAUAGAACUCGACAACCAACUAAUUGCUCUGAGCCUACACUCCCUUACUUUUAUUCCUUAACUGCUGGGCAUGGUCCUAGCUUCUUAGAUGGAUUCUUCAACUUCAAACUCCUAUUCCGACUACCCUGUUGAUCAGUCUGCCAAUCUAGACUUUCUUUCUCUAAACGCUGAUCCGGAUCUUUGCUAUCAACCUACCUAUCCUUUAGCUGAGUCUGAUUGCUUUGCUAACAAGAAUGGAGCUGCUGACAAACAGGCUAUAACUGCAGCUCAUUAGAAUGCAUCACUACCCUACUAGAGUGGAUCAAACCAAUGCCGGUAAGAUUGAAAUAAACAACUGGGAAAUCAACUAGUACUUAUCAUACUUCACUAGGAGCUGGGAAACCAACUCAAAACUUCGAUUAUCUAGCUCUUUGCUUUGAUUCUAUCGCUACUGCUCUAGGUUCUCCCUUCUUCUUUUAGUGGUCUCAACAUACUAAUUAGAUUGAACCCACCAACUGAGGAAUUCCAUUAGUAACUAGAAGACUUGAAACACUAACACGCAGAACGAAACCGGUGCUAAGAAGAAUUGCACUCGAAACCCAGAUCUUAUGCUUUUGAUGUUAGCCCGACCUUCCUGUCUUGGAUUGUUCUAAAACUCACAAUAAGAGUGGAGCUGGGGAUAAAGACUCACUACCCUCCUGACUAGGCUUGAACUACUACGGACAGGGCUGCUACUCAUGUCUAUUAACCCGCCCCUCCUCGCUUUCGUUCUGUAGCUACUGCAUUUCAUUAUGUAUCUCCUGCCUUUUACUGUUCCACUCCUCGAUCUCAGUCCAUAGCUACUUGCUUUUCUUCCUUAAGAGCUGGGCCGGAUCCUUACUUCUUAGAUUGGAGCCUCCCGCUUCUUUCUUUUAGGCUUACUUAUUAGGUUGAACCCUAUAU
rnacentral:lncRNA from 1 species